GGGGGGGGGGGGGGGGGGGGGUGGGGCGGGGGGGGGGGACGGGGGCGUCGGGUGUGGGGGGGCAGGGGGGCGUAGCGCGUGGGGCCCUUCCCUUAGGUUAGGAGUAACACCCGGAAGGGGUUGCUACUCCGGGAUAGUGUCUUAUGACCACAGAUUUAUCUCCUUUGUAUGGUGCCGCGUUGUAGUAGUUAGUUGGUAGGGUAAAAGCCUACCAAGGCGCCGAUCCCUAGCUGUUCUGAGAGGAUGAUCAGCCACACUGGGACUGAGACACGGCCCAGACUCCUACGGGAGGCAGCAGGGGGGAAGAUUGGACAAGGGGCGAAAGCCUGAUCCAGCAAUGCCGCGUGAGUGAUGAAGGCCUUAGGGUUGUAAAGCUCUUUUACCCGGGAUGAUAAUGACAGUACCGGGAGAAGAAGCUCCGGCUAACUCCGUG
rnacentral:rRNA from 1 species